AAACAGCACACCUCUUGGUUUAUUUGUAUUCAUUUCAUCAGUUUCAAGGAAAAUAUGUUGGGAGUUCCUCGCAUAGAGAAUGUCACAAAGACAUGUUUUCAAUAGUAGUGCUAUCCCUAGGGCAGAGAAGACCCAGAGAAAGCCCAAGUGGCUGCUGGAACACAGUCAGACACCGUGCCACCUGUCCACACUCCUUGGCUCUGCCAUCAUGCUGAAGAUCGCUUUAAAGGACUGGCUUCCCUCCCCCCAAAAUGAAUAGAGCACAGACUGAGAAACUGAAUGUGGGAGACAGCAGUGGAUUAUGCUGUUCUCAGGGGUCACCUCAGGUUUGGAAGCAUUCUUUCAAAUUAACCCAUCUCAGGCCAUCUGCAGAGAAGAAAGGUGGUACCUAACUUUUUUCUUGUCAGCAUUUGGUAGGGGUGUUUUAUUGACCAAAUAUGUUCCCACAACCUAGUUUUUUGUGAGUAACUAAAUAUAGUAGAGUUUUAAAUUUUAUCAUCAAAAUCUAUAGACAAUUUUUGAUGAAAAUAGACUCCAUCUCUAUGUCCUGCUUUUCUUCUUCUUAUUAAUUACAUUGCUGUAUAAAAGAACAAGACUUCAGAAUCAAGAAUAUCUUGUCUCUUGGCAUUGAAUUUAUACAAGGUGCUCUUUCUUUAAUGCUGUCUCAAAGGACAUAUUUUUACUCAUUAAAAAGGAAGAUCGGAAUCUAGUUGUAUGCGCUGCUCCAACAUAUUAAUAAUUAAAAUUAGGAGGUAAAUGUGGUCAAAACUAUAGAAAGACUGAGAUGUCAUUUAUAUUGAUUGCUGUAUAGCAUUCUACAAACAGAAAUUGUUAAAUAAGUUUAUAUAAAUAUUUUGUAGCAUUUCAAAUAUUUGAGUGCUUGACGUUUCUCCUCUUCUAUAGUUCAGAUUAUCAAUUUGAAGACUUACUCCGCUAGUUAAAAUGUUUUUAGUCUCGUUCGAGUAUUAUAUAAAAGCAAUUUUCAGUUAAAUGUGUUCCGCUUACAUACAACAUUACAAAUUAUUGAGGAUUUAAUUACUUAUUCAUGUUCCUGUAAUAUCUUUAGAAGAUUUUCUUAUUAUUACCUAUCAAUAUAUGUAUGCUUUGUCAAAGAAAAAUCAAACAUAUAUAUCAUUGAAAUUGAAACUUUUUAAAAGUACUUAUUAAUUCUAUUGAAAAACCACAUCCAUAGGAACAAUUACAAUAUAAUAUUGUGAACAUGUAAACAUAUACCCUAUGUCUAUUUUAUGUAUAAGCAUGUAUGAUUAAAAAUAUAGUGAAGAAUUUUUAAACCUAGUAUUAUAAAGUAAAAAUUAGUUAACUUCUGAUGAUUAUUUGUUAAUUAAGAUAAAAUUAUUUUGAUUUGGGUGAUUUUAAAUAAAGAAAAAUAUUAAAUUACAUGACAAAAAUUCUUUAUAAAAUGUUUAUGAUUUUUACAUUGGUUUUAUCACUUUUUCCACUAUUUUAUUUUAAGAUGACCUGCCUUGUUUAAAACACUGUAUUCAUCUUAAUUAAAUUAGAUUCCAUUUGUAAAAUAAUUAACAAAUGAUUUGCUCUAUUUUACAGUGCGGUUAUAAACUGAGUCAGUAUCUCAAGAUUUGAUCCCCAUUAUCAUCAUCUGUGGCCCUAUUUGUUUUAUAAAUGUAUUGUCUUUUUCCAUGCCUGUCACAUCUCUAUUGCUUUUUCAUUUUUCUCUUUGUCCCUUAUAGGGAGCAUUGCCUAUCUCUAGAUUAAGCAAAGGUUGCAUCAUAAAAAAGCACAAUAACCUGCUCAAUCUUUCUCACACAGAGAAAUGUUUGUUAAGUAAUUAAAGUGUAGAUGAUGAUACAAAGACCUUGAUUAAAUUAGAUAACAAAGUACCCUUGUGAUUCAGAAUAUGAAUGGUAUUUAAUUUCUUUGAAAUCAUUAAUUGCUGAGUGACAUUAAUUAAUGCCAAUUUUCCAGAAGAUGUUCUAGUUAAUGAAAUGUAUACAACGAAAAGCACAAUAACCUGCUCAAUCUUUCUCACACAGAGAAAUGUUUGUUAAGUAAUUAAACUGUAGAUGAUGAUACAAAGAGCUUGAUUAAAUAAGAUGCCAAAGUACCCUUGUGAUUCAGAAUAUGAAUGGUAUUUAAUUUCUUUGAAAUCAUUAAUUGCUGAGUGACAUUAAUUAAUGCCAAUAUUCCAGAAGAUGUUCUAGUGAGUGAAAUGUAUACAACGUGCAAAAGAUUCAGAACUCUGAAGGGCAACAUUAUUCUAUAAUUAAGAAUUAAGAAUUAAUUCACAUCAGUUAUUGGGGAGAAAUAAUUUUUAAGAAUUAAUGACUGAGAAAAUGUUAUUUUUUACUUAGAAAAUUAUUUUGUGCAUGAGCAUUACCGCAAGUUUUGCAAGAAACAUAAAUUUAAAGAAACAAUUAUGUGCACAAGAUGAAUUUAAUAACAUCUUGAUAUAUUCCAUGAUUGCGGUUUUAUUUGGUAAAUCUUUAAAUGCACACCAUUUAAUGAUAAUAAAUGAAUCUUGGAAAUCUUGUAGGUAAGGGUAAAUAUUAGGAUGCAUCCAGUUACAUUUACACACACAUACAUGCAUACAGACUGAUUCACGUGUGUAUAUAUAUAUAUAUGAAUUUACCAAUUGAUGUUAACUAAUAUUUAUAAGAGCCAGUUGGAUUGAUAUAUAUUGUUGAACCUGAAAAAUAUUUAUUAUAUACAUGUUUAAAAUACACACAGAAAUAAAUAGCAAUUGCACUAGGUAUUUGAAACUGUACUAAAAUAUAAGCUGUGAACAUUUUGUGAUCAUUACAAAUUCUUACACUGAAUAAAUAUGUUUAUUUUUACAAUAUUAAUAUGUUUGAUACCUGUGUACAUUUUUUACAAUGUGUUAUUUUAUUUUUGUCAUAGAGUCAUGUCAUGCAUAAUAACAUUUUAGUCAAAGAUGGAUUACAUAUACAAAAGUGGUCCCAUGAGAUUAUAAUAUAUAUUUUUACAUACUUUUCUACGUUUAAGUAUGUUUAGAUACAUAACCUCUUACCACUGUGCUCUUAUUGCCUGCAGUAUUCAGUAGAGUAAUGUAGUACACAGAUUUGUAGCCUAGGAGAAAGAGGCUAUACCAUAUAACCUAAACGUGGUAGGCUGUACAAUCUAGGUGUUUGUAAUAUUCUCUGUGAUGUUUGCAAAAUGAUGAAAUUGCCUAUGAAUACAUCUGUUAAAACGUAUCCCUAUCAUUCAGUGAUGUGUGACUGUACUAAAAUGCUCAAUGUAAGUUUCAAUGCCCUCCAUAAAAUUGUUGUACUGUGAAAUACAAAUCUCUCACCCAUGGCCUGAAUAUGUUUGCAAACUAAGCAGAUCAUGGGAAGGAGAAUGUGCUGGCAUCGCUGGGAUGAUUUUCUCACACUACAUGAAUAAUAUCUACAGACUUCGUGAAUAUGAGCCACUUGCAUAGAGUUAAAGUAGACGUCUCUUUGCUGGGAAAUUUAUCAAAUGGGAGUAUGAAGUGUUUUUACAAGAUACUUGUUUGUUUGUAGCUGGUAGGCCUACAGUGGCUCAUGGCAAUGGUUGAGGUUGCUAAGAUUUGGUGGAAGAAGGCAAAAUGAGAUGGCCACUUAUAUGGUAUAUGGAUCACUUGUUUCUGUUGAGUUACAAACUCAGCUGGCUAUUUCUCCAAUGUUAGUUAUUUGGAGAAAAAAAAACGUGAUGGUAAUUUUGGGGUAACAAAUACAAUAUUUGAUGAAAGCAAAUUUAUUGAGGGUUAGACAAACUACAAGAUACUUUAGGCUGCAAAGUCAACACGAGACUUCUGGCCCAAAUUGUGAAGAGUUUGCGUCCAGCUGCACAGUUCAAAGGAAGAGGCCAUGUAAGAAGAUUCUCACUUCUGACACCAACUGCCAGUUCAGGGGUUUCCCCUGAACACCCUCAGUUUCAAGAGUUUACUAGAAAGACUCACAGAACUCAUUGAAUGCCACUGUACUCAUGGUUUAUAAUAGAGAAAGGGUAGAAAUUAGGACCAAUAGAAGAGACAUAUCAUAUAAGGUGGAAUCUAGGAGAUUUUGAAUGUUAAGUUUCCAUUGUCUUCAGGACAUAUUACCUGUCACUGUUGUACAGCAACAAACAUGGAGUACUACCAACCUGGGGAGCUCACCUGAUGCUAACAAGACACUAUUUACAAAAUGAAAAGACAAAUGAAAGGAUGAGAUAAGAUGACGUUCCACAUUAAGGCACUGGAACGAUUAGCAAACUAAACCUAAAGCAAGCAGAAGGAAGAAAAUUAAAAUUAGAGAAAUUAAUAAUUUAUAACAAUAAUAUUUGUUAGUGUUGAAUAAUUGAUAUUACUUCUUGACUAGCUUUUUUAAAAAAGAGAAAUAUUCACUUCCCAAUUUAUUCUGUGGGGCCAGUGUUACUUUGAUACAAAAAUUAGUCCAAAUAGCAUAGAAAAAUAAAACUACUAUAAGUAUAAAUGCAAACUUCCUUAAAAAAUACUAACAAAUCAGAUCUAGCAACAUAUAAAAGAAUUAUACACUAUGACAAAGUGAAAUUUAUACAAGUAAUCCCAGGUUGGUUUAACAGCCCAAAAUCCAUUAAGGUAAUACAUCUUAUCCAUAGAAUAAGAAACGAGAAUUGCAUGAUCACGUCGAUAGAUUCGGAAAAGACAUUUAACAGAAUCCAAAUGCUUUAAUGACUAAAAAUAAAAAUAAAAACUCAAUGAACCAGGAAUAGAGAACUUUCUACACCUGAUAUAUGGCACCUGUGAAAAGCCAACAGCAAGCAUGCAACUUAAUGGUAAAGGAUGCUUUCCCGCUAUGGUGAGAGAUAUAUACUUUGAUAGGAUAUAUACUUUGACCUCUUCUAGUCAACACUGUACUAAAGAUUUUAUGCAGGGCAAAUCGGCAACUAAAAAAAUAAGAGUCACCCAUACUGAACAGGAAGAAAUAAAACUUUAUUUGAAAAUAACAUUCUUGUAUAUAGAAAAUUUUAAGGAAUCCACCGAACGAUAGAACUCGUAAAUUAUUUCAGCAAUAUUACAGCAAACAAGGUAAAUGUACAAAAAUCAAUUUCACACAUCUGCAAUGAAAACCCCAAAAUGAAUUUAAGAAAACACUUCAAUUUAAAAUAGCAUCAAAAAAAGAAAUAAUAAUUAAUUUGGAAAAUGUGAUACAAGAUUUUCCUCUGAAAAUUAAAAAUUAUUGUUUAAAGAAUAUUUAAAUAAUUAGCAAACACCUUACACCCAUGAAUUGGACUAUUUAAUAUUGUAGUACUUUACAAUUUGAACUACAGAUUUGAUGAAAUCCCUGCAAGUAUCCCAACAGACUUCUGUCUAGAAACUGACAAGCUGAUUCUAAAAUACACAUGGAAUUGUAAGGGACUCAAAAUAGCCAAAAUAAUCUUAAGAAAAGAAAACAUGUUAGGAUAAUUCACACCCCCAUGCUCCAAACCUUACUGCAAAGUAUCGGUAAUCAAGACAACACAAUACUGAUGAAGGAAAAAUAUAUAGAUUGAUGGAAGAUAAUUGAGAGUCCAUAUAUAAAACUAUGUGUCUACAGUCAAUGGAUUCUUACAGUGGUACCAUGUGCAAUUCAAUGAGGAAGAGACAGUCUUUGAACAAACUGGGUCAACAAAGUACACAUGGAUCACCACUUGCAAAAUAAUAAAUUCGAACCCUUACCCCAAAGCAUACAAAAAUAUUAACUCAAAUGAAUUAAAGACACACAUGCAAGAGGUAGAAUAAAGCAUAUGGGAAAGUCUUCAGGAUUUUGGAUCUAGCAAAGAAAUAGCUGUAACCCCAAAAACAUGAGCAACAAAAUAAAAAUUAGAUAUUUAAAAUUUCUUAAAAAUUAAAGACAUUGGUGUUUCAAAGGACAAACAAGCAAGUCAAAAGGCAGCUCAAAAAUUGUGAGAAGAUAUUUGAAAAACACGUAUCUAUAUGUCUGUAUAUAUAUAUGUAUCUUGAAUAUAGAAAAAUUGUUUUAACUCCGUCACAAAUAUCCCAACUCAAAACUGAUAAAUGAUAGGAAUAGAUGUGUUUCCCAAGAAGAUACACGAACGGUCAAUAAUCCCAUAAAAAUAUACUCAAUAGCAUCACUCAUCAGGCAACUACAAAUCAAAACCACAGUUAGAUACUCUAUGGGUAGAACUGGCCACCUUGGAAAAUAAUUUGAUGGCUUCUAAAUAUAUGAAACAUAGAAUUGUCAUAUGACCCAGAAAUUUAUUCCUAGGUAUACACCCAGAUUAUUGGAAAGAGGUGUUCAAACACAAAUUGUACACAAGUAUUUUUAGCAGCAGUAUUUAAAAUAGCCAAAGGCUGAACACAACUCAAAUGUCAAUAAAAAUAUUAUUGGAUAAACAAAAUGUUAUAUCCAAGAAAUUGAAUGUUAUACAGUUAUAAAAAGAAAUAAAGUACCAAUACGUACAUGAACCUUGAUAGCAUUAUGCCAACUGAAAGAAGCCAGGCAGAAAAGGCCACCUAUUGUAUGAUUCUAUUUAGAUGAAAACAGACUAGGAAAAUCUAUAGAGACAGAAAACAGAUUUGUGGUUGCUUAGGAUUGAGUAGGGGAUGGGUGCAUAGGAGGUUAACAGCUAGGGAAGGUGGGGUUUCUUUUUGAAGUGAUGAAAAUGCUCUAAAAUUCAUUGUGAUGAUGGCUCCACUUAUCUGUGCAUAUACUAAAAGCCACUGACUUGUAGACAUUAAUGUGUGCACUCUACACUAUGUAAAUUAUAUCUCAAUAAAUCCUUUCAAAAAUACACAGAAGAGUAAGGGGUUUUGGAAUGCUGCAGCUGGGAGGCAGUUUGAAAUACUGAAUAGGCCUCAUCGAGAAUGUGAAGUUUCAGUAAAGACUUGAGGAAGUUGAAUGAGCUGAUCAAUGGAUAUAUGGAGGGCUAUCUUUCCAAGCCAAGAAAUUAACUAGAGUCUUGACCAUAAGGCAGCAGCAUGUUGGCAUGUCCAGAGGACAGUGAGGUGGCCAGGACCACUGGUAAGAUCAAGGGUGAAGAUAUAAAAGAAUUUUGGCAGUUAACAUGUGGCAGAUGAUGAUGGGCUUGCAGAUCAUUGUAAGAAAUGUUGUUUUGGCCGGGCGCGGUGGCUCACGCCUGUAAUCCCAGCACUUUGGGAGGCCGAGGCGGGUGGAUCACGAGGUCAGGAGAUCGAGACCAUCCUGGCUAACAAGGUGAAACCCCGUCUCUACUAAAAAUACAAAAAAUUAGCCGGGCGUGGUAGCGGGCGCCUGUAGUCCCAGCUACUCGGGAGGCUGAGGCAGGAGAAUGGCGUGAACCCGGGAGGCGGAGCUUGCAGUGAGCCGAGAUCGCGCCACUGCACUCCAGCCUGGGCGACAGAGCGAGACUCCGUCUCAAAAAAAAAAAAAAAAAGAAAAAGAAAUGUUGUUUUUAGUGUACAUGAAAUGGGGAGACAAAUCAUUAUCCCAUUAUCAAUAUUUUAAUAAAUUGGAUCCAUGAACCAAAUCCAAUGAGAUUAAAUCAAUUAAUAAUAAUAUGCAAAUUUGUAUUAAAAUUAAAAGAAUUACUUGCACAUUUGAGAACAGGAGAGACAUGAUUUUUAUCAGCAAUAAUAAACAUUAUUAAUUUUAAUUGUGAUCAGCUAAUUGAGAUUAAUUGCAAUACAUCAUGCUUUAUAAUGUGACUGCCAAAAGGAAAAUAUGAUUGUAAUCUUAUACUACAUCUAUCAAUGUCUUUUAUACAUAAGAGUAUAGAGUAAGCCCGUAGUUUUCAAAGCCAACCUAUGAAGCAGUGACAUCUUAUGCAAGUUUGCUGCUUUCUGCCACAGUGAUCCUUGGUCAGCGGGCACAAAUUGUUUUACAAACGCCCCCUAGGUCUAAAAGUAGUUUGGAUCACAAUGAACACAGAAACACCUUCAUCCCUUCAGAAAUACCUAUCAAUUACUUCCAAUACAGAAUGAAAAAUUGACAAAGGAAAUAUGUGGAUUGUAAAAAUGCCAGUUAGCUUGCAACUACAUGAAAGAAAAAUGCCAUUUUUAUUACAUUAGGUCAUUGUUUCACAUGAGUUUUGGUAUAGCAAAAUGUUGAACCAAGGGAAAAGAGACAUGAAUUAAUGAAGUCUUAAGAUAUCAAGAAUUUGAAAGAAAAGGCAGGUCAUCUUUGAAGGUUAGUGACAUAGCAUUCAUCUUCUGUUGUCACCUUUCCUGUCAUUCCCUGUAUGCCUGAUGGACAGGUUUCACUCAAGUUCAGAGAACAGCAUGCAAAAUUAGCUAUCAAUUAAUCUUUAGGAAGUGAGCUGCAUUUCUAGCCAGACUGAGCUUACGUUUUAGCAGGAAGCAUUUUUGGGAAAUGUUUAUGUUAGAGUUGGCCCUUCUUGACAAGGUGAGACAUAAAUGUCUACUUUAUAGACAUGAAUUAAGAUGGGAAGAUAUUUGGGGGAAUCAUUUACUCAAACGCUAAAUAAUAAAGGUACACAAAGGGCAAAUUAUACUAGAUUUCUUUCCCACUUGUUUUCUAUGUCUCAUGCAAUUCACCUUGAUUCCCUUCAGUUUCUGUUUAAUGUAGAAAGUGGCAUUUUCAUUAUUUUAAGCUUCUAGCACAAUGAAAGAAUUUCUCUUUUUCAUGAACAGGAUCAUACAUGAAAAGGAGGAAGAGUGUCCUAUAUCAUAUUUAUUGUUCAACAAAACACUGCUCCACGGCUUAAAUUCAGUUUAAGAAAGAGAAUUUGUUGAACAUCUAACACAUACAUAAAAGGCAGUAAAGACACAUGAGAAGAGGGCAGGAUAUUGAAGUAUACAGACUUCAAUGCUGAGUUUUAUAUCUUAGGGAGUUACUCCACCUUACAGAGGCUCAAUUUCCCCUGAUUUAGGAAGGCGAUGCUAAUGGGUAUUGCAUAGGUGUAAGUAUAAAAAUGUUGUAUUGAAGAGAAUCCCACAAGCUUGGUAUAAGGCCGAAAAUAAAUUGAUGUGACAUGAAUAAGUAGUUUAUUACAUUUGUAUGCUACCUGCAGACUAGAGGAAGCAAGAAACACAGCCACUAUGCUUGAUUAGCAUUAUAGGGAUGGUACAAUGAUUGUUGCCAGAAGCUGGAGGGAGGAAGAAAUGGGGAAGUAUUGUUUAAUGGGUAUAGAGUUUCAGUUUUACAAGAUGAAACGAAUUAUGGAGAUGGAUGGUAGGGACGGCUGCACAAUGUUAUGACUAUAUUUAGUACCACUGAACUGUACACUUAAAAUGGUUAACCGAGUACAUUUUAUGUUAUGUGUAUUUUACCACAAUAAAAAAAUAAAAUACCUUAGGAACAUUUUCAUGAAAAAGCCCACAUAAAAUUCAUUUUAAUGCACGUGUUUAUGCAUAGCUUUCUAUUUUUCUCUUUUCCCUUUACAUUCCUAAUUCUAAUCAGAGAAGGGAAUCCCCUCUGUACCUCCAGGAUAUUCAGUAAAGACCACUGGAGGUUCAUGCCC
rnacentral:lncRNA from 10 species